GCGGGCAUGGCGGAAUUGGCAGACGCGCCAGACUUAGGAUCUGGUGUCUUUCGACGUGGGGGUUCAAGUCCCUUUGCCCGCA
rnacentral:tRNA from 1 species